rnacentral:sRNA from 1 species
GAAGCUGGCGGAGCAGGAGGAUGGGCGAGCAGUCUGAAUGCCAGAAUGGAUAACCGUUUUGCUACAGCAUUUGUAAUUGCUUGUGUGCUUAGCCUCAUUUCCACCAUCUACAUGGCAGCCUCCAUUGGCACAGACUUCUGGUAUGAAUAUCGAAGUCCAGUUCAAGAAAAUUCCAGUGAUUUGAAUAAAAGCAUCUGGGAUGAAUUCAUUAGUGAUGAGGCAGAUGAAAAGACUUAUAAUGAUGCACUUUUUCGAUACAAUGGUACAGUGGGAUUGUGGAGACGGUGUAUCACCAUACCCAAAAACAUGCAUUGGUAUAGCCCACCAGAAAGGACAGAGUCAUUUGAUGUGGUCACAAAAUGUGUGAGUUUCACACUAACUGAGCAGUUCAUGGAGAAAUUUGUUGAUCCCGGAAACCACAAUAGCGGGAUUGAUCUACUUAGGACCUGUGAGUACUUUGAUUUCACCAGGACAGUUGGGGGAACAAAGAUAAUUUUAUUUGUCUCUUUUUGGACUAUGUUUUUGGAAUAAGAUGAGUUAGUAGAUUGUGCCAGCGUGAAAUAAAAUAUCUAAUAGUAUCAGUGAUGUGUAUUCUGU